UGAUGAAGGUGUUGAAGAUACCAUUGCCAUAUUGACAUUGAUUUUAAUUGAUACCGAUUAGUCUAUUGUUAGAAAAUUGUAUUAGGAAAAUUUAUUUUCCUUCUUUUCCACAUUAUGUAUAUUUUUCUUCCUAAGAUAGUUUUGCUCCUAUGUAUUACAACUUCUAGCUUCCGCUCCUUUUUCAAGUUUUUUUUUCUCCACCUUUCACCCUCGAUUUUGCAGAACUUCCGUCCCCAUCCUGCAAAUUUUUUUUGAGCUAGAUAAGCAAAAGGAACAGUAUGCCGAGAAACCCAACAACCAAAUCUGGAGUCGUUCAAGAUCCAGAAGCUUCCUCCAACGUCCAAGAGGUGGACGAUUCACCUUCGAACCAACAUUCAGAUCCUGUAAUAGAAAACCAGACACAAGAACAGGAUCAAUCGCAACUCAUGAAGUGCUGCAACGUCCCGUUCAGCCCAAUCCGGGGCAAUUUUUUCAAGGUUCACAUAUACAAUGGAUUCCUGUUCAAGUUCAACCAGCCCAGAGCACAUCGGGGUCUACAGAAAGCGUCGGACCAGGAGGAGGCUCAACAGCAGGAUCCGGAUCUACUUGGUCCUAUCCGAACUCGAAUCUCUCGGGUCCGAUGGGUCUCCCUUACCCGGGAUUCGGACCUAGUUUUUUUCCUUUUGCAGGCACCUUCGUCGGCCGGCCAGAACCAGGAGAUGCCCUGUACACAGCCGCAACCGAUGGACCCCAGCUCCGCCUGAUUUCGCAGCAACUUUCGGGACCGGAGAACUACUCCGUUUGGUCCCGGGAGCUUCGGCGGGCAUUUAUAACAAAGGACAAAGAUGGCUUUAUAGAUGGAUCCAUACCCAUUCCAGCCGAUGAACGACUGGCCCGGCACUGGAAGAAAUGCAACCAGUUAGUCCGGACUUGGAUCGGUAAUUGCCUUAUGCCGGAGGUCGCCGCCGGACUCCCUCCGACUGAGGACGCUCACCAGUUCUGGAAAAGCAUAAAAGAAAUGUACGGCAAGCUCGAUAGGGCUAGAAUUUUCUCAAUAACCCAAGCCCUAUCAGAGCUAAAACAAGGAAAUCUAUCUAUUUCGGCCAUUUUCAAUAAACUCUCGGCGUUGUGGAACGAAUUAGAAGAAGCAGAGAAGAGAAGCUUCGAGGGCCAGAAGAAACUCUAGCUCAAUACCGAGCAAUUAGAGAAAGAGAAAAAGCGACACGUUUUUUGUUGAUCCUAAAUGAAACGUACCUGCCGUUUCGCAGCCAAAUCCUUGCCAUGGAGCCGGUUCCUCCGCUUGGCCGGAUCUACCAGCUUGCUGUACAGGAGGAAUCACAACGGGUGGCUUCGACGGAGUACCUCAAGGUUGGAGAUCGGGUUGUUCUCGCGGCCAAAGCAACGCCAGACCAGCAUCUACUCGCGGCAAGGUCCGGCCAUGGAGUCUUCAGGGGGUCGAGCAACGUAGCAGCUGCGCGAGGAUUAGGGCUUCUGGAGGAAGAAGAUGAAAACCCAUCCUCAUUUCGGAUGGACGGCCAGGAUUGGAUUCGGCAAUCCAACGGCCCAGGACGGGUGCGUUACCCAUUACGCACGAACGGUCCAGAUCUGAUCGCGCAAAUGGACGGCACCCAUUAUUUCGCUCGAUCGGACGGUGGGCUCAACAAUCCCGCCCGAUCAGACGGCUCCGGUUUUAUCCUUGCAGCUCCAAGAUCGAACGGCCCAGAUCGAGCCACAUCGGCACCAGCUUGGAAAGGAUCAAAUGGCCAAAAUUUUUCAUCAUCUUCCAACAAAUUAUAUGCCCAAAAUUCUAAAGGAAAAGGUAAAGUUUGUGAUUAUUGCAAAUGCCCCUAUCACACUCAAGAAAAUUGUUGGAAGUUGCAUGGAAAACCAGGAGAAAAGGAAAAAAAGGGACGAGAAAUCUCUAUUGCAACACAUGCAAAGGCUCAUCAACCCAUCAACAAGGAUCAGCUGCAGCAUAUUAUGAGCACUUUAAGUCAACUGGAAACAGAGGAAAAGAUGAGCAGCUAUGCAGGUACUUCUCACUGCUUGAGUUCUAUUUCCAAUAAAGCAUGGAUUAUUGAUUCAGGUACUAGUGAUCACAUAGUCUGCGAUGAACGAUUUUUUUCUAAAACGUAUAAAGCAUCUUCUCAUACAUCCGUACGACUUCCAAAUGGGGAAGACACCUCUGUCACUAAGAUUGGGGACGUUCAGCUUAGUCCUUCCAUUACUCUAAAAAAUGUCUUACUCAUUCCCAAAUUCCAAUUUAACCUAAUCUCUAUGUCGAAACUUUGUGAAGAUAACUCUUGUCGAGUUCUUUUAAACUCUGACGUUUAUUUCUUCCAAGCCCUUUCGACUAGAAAAUUGAUGAGCUUGGGUAGCAAUCAUGAGGGGUUUUAUUUUUGGGUUACUCUUCCAAAAAAUACUUUACAUUUUCCCUUAAAUAAGGGCACUCUAUGUAAUGCCAGCAUCAAUAAAAGCAUUUUAUUCCAUCAGCGAUAGGUCAUAGUGUCUCUUUUCCUCUUCCGAAGUGUCCUGUUUGUCCUUUGGCUAAACAAUCGCGAUUACCUUUUCCAAAAAUCACUUCUCGUGCCAAAACAGCUUUCUCUCUUUUGCACAUGGAUAUCUGGGGACCAUAUCACAUUCAACAUCGUGAUGGAUCUCGCUUCUUUCUCACAAUUGUGGACGAUCAUACACGAGCAACUUGGGUUUUUCUAAUGCAGUCCAAAGCCCAAGUUCCCUCUUACCUAAGAGAUUUUUUCACCCUCAUCAAAACUUAGUUUCAUAAAUCCGUACAGCAAAUUCGCACGGACAAUGCUCGGGAAUUUUUUAAUCGUGAAUGUUUUUCCUUGUUCACUACAAAUGGCAUUCUUCACGAAAGUUCAUGCACUAUACCCUCAGCAGAACAGUGUGUCAAAAGAAAACAUCGUCAUCUCCUAGAAGUUGGUCGUGCCCUCAAAUAUCAAGCUUUUAUUCCUGAAAAGUUUUGGGGAGACUGUGUGGUCACGGCAGCAUACUUGAUCAAUAGGAUGCCAUCCAGGGUCCUCAAUGGCAAAAGUCCAUUUGAAUUGCUUUUUGGGAAAUACCCAAAUAUUCAGCAUCUUCGUGUAUUUGGUUGUUUAUGUUAUGCAUCUACCAUGGGCACCCGUGACAAAUUAGGACCUCGUGCCAUCAAAUGCGUUUUCAUGGGGUAUCCUAAUCUUCAGAAGGGGUAUUCAGUAUAUGAUCUUUCCACCAAGCGCUUCUUCGUCAGUAGAGAUGUUAUAUUCCAUGAGGAUGUUUUUCAUUUUCAAGAGGAAUUAUCUUCUCAACCAAGCAAUCCAACUAUUGAGAGUCGCCAAUUUCUGGCUGAUAACGAUAUCUCAACUCCUACUUAGAGGAUGAUUCCUCAUGUACCUCCCAUUGAAUCUUUAGCUCCGGAAUACGAUGUAGGCUCACCAUCAGAUAUACAUGAGACAACUCCAGAUUUUCCACAAGAAGUGAUAUCAGCAUCUCCUGUAGUUCCUUCAUCAUCAACAUCUCUGGAUGAUAUCUCUUCUAGAUCACAUGAGCGUGCUCCAUCAGUCACACCAGCUGCCCCUCGUCGUUCAAGUCGCAUUACUCGACCAACCACUUGGACAGUAGACUACAUUUGUCCUAUAAUGAAGCCAUAUGGUACACACUAUCCCGUCUCCUCAUAUGUUAGUUUUGCUAAUCUUUCACUGGAGCACAUGUGUUGCAUUAGUAAAAUAUUUUAAGGACAUGAGCCAUCUUCAUAUGAAGAAGCUGUACGAGACCCUCAUUGGCAGCAAGCAAUGGCGGAUGAAUUGCAAGCUCUAACAGGGAAUAAAACUUGGGACAUAGUUCCUUUACCCACUCAUCGGAAGUCAAUUGGGUGCAAGUGGGUAUACAAGAUCAAAUACAAGGCGGAUGAUUCGAUCGAGUGUUAUAAAGCAAGACUAGUGGCUAAGGGGUUUACUCAACGAGAAGGUUUUGAUUACGCUGAAACCUUUUCACCAAUAGCAAAGGAAGUCACUGUAUGUUCAUUUUUCUCUAUUGCUACUAUCCAUGAUUGGCCUCUUCAUCAGAUGGAUGUUCAUAAUGCAUUCCUGCAUGGUGAUCUUGAAGAGGAAAUCUACAUGGACCUUCCGCCGGGUUUACGCAGACAGGAGGAGAACCGAGUGUGUCGUCUCCGUAAAUCCCUAUAUGGACUCAAACAGGCUUCUCGUCAAUGGUAUGGGAAAUUUACCAAUGCACUCACGGCUACAAAAUUCCAGCAGUCCAAACAUGAUUAUGCCUUAUUCACAUGGAGACAAGGUACGUCAUCGAUUUACUUACUUAUAUAUGUUGAUGACAUACUCAUUAUGGGAAAUGACGAGACUGCCAUCAAGAAGUUUAAGCGGUUUUUGCAUUCGAGCUUUCACAUUAAGGAUUUGGGGCCUCCCAAAUAUUUUCUCAUGAUAGAGAUUGCACAAUCGAAUAAGGGUAUUUGUCUCAACCAGUGCAAGUUUGUCCUGGAGAUCAUAUUAGAAGCAGACUUUCGGGAUCCAAACCAGCGGUUAUCCCAAUUGAGCAGAAUGUCAAGCUGACGACAGCUAAGUAUGACAAGGGUUUAUCACUCUUGAAUGAGGAUCCUUUACUCAAAGAUCCUUUCGUUUAUCAGAGACUUGUUGGGAAACUUAUCUACUUAACCAUGAUCAGACCUGACAUAUGCUAUGCAGUGCAAAUCCUUAGCCAGUUUAUGCAUAAUCCAAAACAAUCACACAUGAAUGCCACACUAAAGGUCAUAAAAUACCUAAAAGGGUGUCCAGGUUUGGGAAUAUUACUGUCUCGUGACAACAAUAUGGAGAUGACAGCAUACAGUGAUACGGAUUAUGCCACUUGUCCGAUGAGUAGGAAGUCAGUCACAAGAUUCUGCAUCAAAUUGGGCAACUCAUUACUUUCUUGGAAGACAAAGAAACAAUCGACUGUUUCGUUAUCAUCUGCUGAGGCGGAAUAUCAAGCAAUGGCAAAGAUCAAUUGUGAGAUAGUCUGGAUAAGAGGAUUACUUCAAGAUCUUGGGGUUUGGAUAAAGGAACCAACUGUUCUAUUUUGUGAUAAUGAUGCCGCACUUAAACUUGCAACAAUUCCAGUUUUCCACGAGAGGACAAAGCAUAUAGAAGUCGAUUGCCAUUUCGUCAGAGACAAAAUUCAAGACGGAUUGAUCAAGACAAGUGGGAUAAGAACUACGGAGCAGCCCGCAGACAUCUUCACUAAACCUUUAUGUCAGAGGCAACAUUCGUAUCUAUUGAGCAAGCUAGGCAUUCUAGAUGUGUAUAGACCACUAGCUUGAGGGGGAGUGUUGAAGAUACCAUUGCCACAUUGACAUUGAUUUUAAUUGAUACCGAUUAGUCUAUUGUUAGAAAAUUAGAAUAUUGUGUAUUAGGAAAAUUUAUUUUCCUUCUUUUCCACAUUAUGUAUAUUUUUCUUCCUAAGAUAGUUUUGCUCCUAUGUAUUACAAAUAGGAACCGGAUUGUACAUCAUUAAUCAAUGAAAAGCAAUAUACAAUA
rnacentral:lncRNA from 1 species